rnacentral:rRNA from 1 species
ACGGGGUGCAGCAGGCGCGAAAACUUUGCAAUGUGCGAAAGCACGACAAGGUUAAUCCGAGUGAUUUGUGCUAAACGAAUCUUUUGUUAGUCCUAGAACCACUAACGAAUAAGGGGUGGGCAAGUUCUGGUGUCAGCCGCCGCGGUAAAACCAGCACCUCAAGUGGUCAGGAUGAUUAUUUGGCCUAAAGCGUCCGUAGCUGGCCCUGUAAAUCUCUCGUUAAAUCCAACGUCCUAAGCGUUGGGCUGCGAGGGAAACUGCAGAGCUAGAGGGUGGGAGAGGUCAGCGGUAUUCCUGGGGUAGGGGCGAAAUCCAUUGAUCCCAGGAGGACCACCAGUGGCGAAGGCUGCUGACUUGAACACGCCUGACAGUGAGGGACGAAAGCUGGGGUAGCGAAUCGGAUUAGAUACCCGAGUAGUCCCAGCCGUAAACGAUGCAGGCUAGGUGUUGGGUCGGCCAUGUGCUGGCUCAGUGCCACAGGGAAGCCAUUAAGCCUGCCGCCUGGGAGUACGACCGCAAGGC